AGCGGACGCUGGCGGCAGGCCUAACACAUGCAAGUCGAACGAACCCUUCGGGGUUAGUGGCGGACGGGUGAGUAACACGUGGGAACGUGCCUUUAGGUUCGGAAUAACUCAGGGAAACUUGUGCUAAUACCGAAUGUGCCCUACGGGGGAAAGAUUUAUCGCCUUUAGAGCGGCCCGCGUCUGAUUAGCUAGUUGGUGAGGUAAUGGCUCACCAAGGCUACGAUCAGUAGCUGGUCUGAGAGGAUGACCAGCCACAUUGGGACUGAGACACGGCCCAAACUCCUACGGGAGGCAGCAGUGGGGAAUCUUGCGCAAUGGGCGAAAGCCUGACGCAGCCAUGCCGCGUGGAUGAUGAAGGUCUUAGGAUUGUAAAAUCCUUUCACCGGUGAAGAUAAUGACUGUAGCCGGAGAAGAAGCCCCGGCUAACUUCGUGCCAGCCGCCGCGGUAAUAC
rnacentral:rRNA from 1 species